rnacentral:rRNA from 1 species
GACGAACCGUGCGAACGUUGUUCGGAUUCACUGGGCUUAAAGGGCGCGUAGGCGGCUUGCCGAGUCAGGGGUGAAAUCUUUCGGCUCAACCGGAAAACUGCCCUGACGACCGGCCGGCUGGAGGGAGGUAGGGCAGACGGAACUUCCGGUGGAGCGGUGAAAUGCGUAGAUAUCGGAAGGAACGCCGGUGGCGAAAGCGGUCUGCUGGAUCUCUUCUGACGCUGAGGCGCGAAAGCCAGGGGAGCGGAACG